UGCACAUUCUGCAAAAUUCUGAAGGCCUCCUGACAAAUGAAAUGGAGGCAGAAAAUUUUGUAGGAAACAGCAGGUUGGAGCUGGCUUCAUGGACCAAGUUGCCAUUGGAAGAUCUGCUCCAGCUUUUUUUAGUCAUACUAUUGAAGCAAUGUUUGAAGUGAUAUGGAAACUAAAACGCAAGACGACAUAACACUCCUUUUGG